ensembl:snRNA U2 U2 spliceosomal RNA
AUCUCUUCUCGGCCUUUUGGCUAAGAUCAAGUAUAGUAUCUAAUAUCCAUGUCUUAUUUCCUGUUAGCUAAUUCAUUCUUUAAUAGAUAUGGUUUUGCAUGUUAUACUUGUGAACAAAGUUUCCCAUUUUAGUGUUGAUUACAGUUUUGAAGAAUCAGACCAACUGAGACCCAAA